rnacentral:rRNA from 1 species
AUACGUAGGGGACGAGCGUUGUCCGGAAUUACUGGGCGUAAAGGGCGCGCAGGCGGAUAUUUAAGUCAGCUGUAAAAGGCAUGAGCUCAACUCAUGUAUGCGGUUGAAACUGGGUAUCUAGAGUGCUGGAGAGGUAGGCGGAAUUCCCGGUGUAGCGGUGAAAUGCGUAGAUAUCGGGAAGAACACCAGUGGCGAAGGCGGCUUACUGACCAGCAAUUGACGCUGAGGCGCGAAAGCCAGGGGAGCAAACUGGAUUAGAUACCCCGGUAGUCCUUGCCGUAAACGAUGAAUGCUAGGUGUGGGUGUCGAGAGGCAUCCGUGCCGGAGAUAACGCGAUAAGCAUUCCGCCUGGGGAGUACGAUCGCAAGAUUGAAACUCAAAUGAAUUGACGGGG